rnacentral:rRNA from 1 species
UGGGGAAUAUUGCACAAUGGGCGAAAGCCUGAUGCAGCGACGCCGCGUGAGGGAUGACGGCCUUCGGGUUGUAAACCUCUUUCAGCAGGGACGAAGCGCAAGUGACGGUACCUGCAGAAGAAGCACCGGCUAACUACGUGCCAGCAGCCGCGGUAAUACGUAGGGUGCAAGCGUUGUCCGGAAUUACUGGGCGGAAAGAGUUCGUAGGCGGUGUGUCGCGUCGUUUGUGAAAACCAGCAGCUCAACUGCUGGCUUGCAGGCGAUACGGGCAGACUUGAGUACUGGAGGGGAGACUGGAAUUCCUGGUGUAGCGGUGAAAUGCGCAGAUAUCAGGAGGAACACCGGUGGCGAAGGCGGGUCUCUGGGCAGUAACUGACGCUGAGGAACGAAAGCGUGGGUAGCGAACAGG